AUGACCUACGGGAGGCAGCAGUGGGGAAUAUUGCACAAUGGGGGAAACCCUGAUGCAGCAACGCCGCGUGAGUGAAGAAGUAUUUCGGUAUGUAAAGCUCUAUCAGCAGGGAAGAGAAUGACGGUACCUGACUAAGAAGCCCCGGCUAACUACGUGCCAGCAGCCGCGGUAAUACGUAGGGGGCGAGCGUUAUCCGGAUUUAUUGGGUUUAAAGGGUGCGCAGGCGGCACGGCAAGCCGGCGGUCAAAUC
rnacentral:rRNA from 1 species